CAACCGCAAAACCCCCUUUCCCCCAUGUCACAGGGCAACCAGGGAAAGAAGAGAGGGAAAGGGGGGUUGUGGGGGUGUGGGGAGGAGGUGGGGGGGCAGGGGCACCGGCAGCCAGCCCCGCACUCGCCUGCCGGGCCACCACCGGGAUCGCAGCCUUCGCCUCCCGGCAGCUUUGGAGGGAAGGCGGCGAGCGGUCCCCCCAGCCGGUGCUCAACCGGUUUAGUGCCAGAAGUUUUUCCAACAGGUUUCUGGAGGUGUCAGACCCGCAAGAGCGAACCUCGGGAAAAGCAACCCCCUCCUUUAAGGGAACGAGGUGCGGGGCGGGGAGGAGGCGGGCAGCCGGCCCGCAGCCCCGGGAGGAAGAGGAGGCCAAUUGAGCGGCAUCACUUUGCCCCGUUGUCCGUAUCACAGACACUCAUAAAUUCAACAAGCUCAUCAACAGGAUAUUAAGUUGCAGGUUUUACCUUUGAUGGUGCCGAUCCGAGGCACUUCUAGGCCGUUCGACCUAUGACCCGUGAAGACCACAUGUGUUGGGCUGGAGCCUCCCUCUGUAAAACACAACUGCGGGACAAAAGUUCUUUGUCAGGCUCUACCGGCAGCCUAAUGUAAAAGAAAAAAAAAAGGGGGAAAUAAUGAAAAUCUCAGCCAAAGCUGUAACUUUUAAAGGCCUUUUUUUAAAAAAAAAAAAAAAAAAAAAAAAAAAAAAAAAAAAAAAAAAAAAAAAAAAGG
rnacentral:lncRNA from 1 species